rnacentral:rRNA from 1 species
UACGGGGGGGGCAAGCGUUGUUCGGAAUUACUGGGCGUAAAGGGCUCGUAGGCGGCCGACUAAGUCAGACGUGAAAUCCCCCGGCCUAACCGGGGAACUGCGUCUGAUACUGGACGGCUUGAAUUCGGGAGAGGGAUGCGGAAUUCCAGGUGUAGCGGUGAAAUGCGUAGAUAUCUGGAGGAACACCGGUGGCGAAGGCGGCAUCCUGGACCGACAUUGACGCUGAGGAGCGAAAGCCAGGGGAGCAAACGGG